CCUACGGGAGGCAGCAGUGGGGAAUAUUGCGCAAUGGACGAGAGCCUGAAGCAGCGAAGCCGCGUGAGGGAUGAAGGUCCUAGGAGUUUAAAACUUUGUUUGCAUGGGAGUAAAACAGGGUAUGCAUACCCUCUUGUAUGUACCAUAUCAGUAAAGAACGGCUAACUUCGUGCCAGGAGCCGCGGUAAUACGGAGGGUGCGAGCGUUAUGCGGAUUGAUUGGGUUUAAAGGGAGCGUAGGUUGAGUGUUAAGUCAGUUGUGAAAGGCUGCGGCGCAACCGUAAAAGUGCAGUUGAAACUGGCAGUCUUGAGUACAGUAGAGGUGAGCGGAAUUCGUGGUGUAGCGGUGAAAUGCUUAGAUAUCACGAAGAACUCCAGUUGCGAAGGCAGCUAACUGGACUGCAACUGACACUGAUGCUCGAAAGUGUGGGUAGCAAACAGGAUUAGAUACCCCAGUAGUC
rnacentral:rRNA from 1 species